UACGUAGGGUGCAAGCGUUAAUCGGAAUUACUGGGCGUAAAGCGUGCGCAGGCGGUUAUGCAAGACAGAUGUGAAAUCCCCGGGCUUAACCUGGGAACCGCAUUUGUGACUGCAUAGCUGGAGUACGGCAGAGGGGGAUGGAAUUCCGCGUGUAGCAGUGAAAUGCGUAGAUAUGACGGAGGAACACCGAUGGCGAAGGCAGUCCCCUGGGCCGUAACUGACGUCAUGCACGAAAGCGUGGGGAGCAAACAGGA
rnacentral:rRNA from 1 species